GGGAAAACAGACCAAAGCAAGUCUCGCUGGCCAGUGACACUCCAGGAGCAUGGCCCAUGGAAGGAUCCAAGGCUGAGGGAUCUGGGGUAGCCCCACAGAGAUACUCUGCCAAAAUCCAGUCACGAGAAGGAGGGAGGAGGCGAGGAACGAAAAUGAGAUUUGGUUUAGGCCGGAAGAACGGGCUGCGCCAACAACGAGAAAAUAAAGUGGCGAGCUGGGAAGGGUGUAGCGCGGGCUAGAAGGGCGGGAAACUUGAGAACCACGGGCGCGGGAGCCUGGCGGGGACGCAAGCCCGGAACUGGCGGAGGGGUGGGCAGGCGCAUGCGCGCGCGCAGCUGAAACGCCGGCUGAUGAAACUGACAAAGGCGAGAGCGCGCAGCAGCCCACAGCAGCCGAGUUCGCGCCGCCGGUGGCUGGACUCAGACACAUCACGCUCCAGUUUGGGUUCCAAGGUGCUUCUCUCUGGAUUUUCACCUGCCUUGCCAAAAAUGAUUGAUUACGCUGGGCCAACUGGGUGUCCGGCAAUACCCAACAAAUGACUUUGGCCCCUAACAGCAGGUCUUGGCCAGACAGAAAUCAAUAUUUCACCAUUAAAAUCUAUCAAAGAAGAGUUAAGGCACCAUCUGUCCCUGCCGCCUCUCUAUGGUGUGUGAACAUUAAAUCCGACACUUGUACUACAUGGGUAAUCAAUAUAUAGUGGUUCACAGAUCAUUUGUGGUUCCCUUUUAGCAGUGAUGGAUGUCUGGAAUCGUUGUGAUUCAUUUUGUCAGACCAUUAAACAAGAUUCUGUCCAGUU
rnacentral:lncRNA from 1 species